rnacentral:lncRNA from 1 species
CAAGUUUUCUCAUUUACUGCAAAUCUAUCAAGUUCGAGCAUCGAAUGCAACAGGCCACUAUAAAUUCUAAUCGAAUCGUAAUGUCAUUGGACUUAGAAUUAAGUGAUUUUUUUUUAAAUCAUGGAAAUGAAUAUCUUUUGAAUAUAUUCGUUUUUGGCUGAACCUUUGUUAAUUGUCAUGUCAUUGGGCAAUUUUGGUCCCCCCCCCC